CUUACCAAGACAAUGAUACGUAGGCCGACCUGAGAGGGUAAUCGGCCACAUUGGGACUGAGACACGGCCCAAACUCCUACGGGAGGCAGCAGUAGGGAAUCUUCCACAAUGGACGAAAGUCUGAUGGAGCAACGCCGCGUGAGUGAAGAAGGUUUUAGGAUCGUAAAACUCUGUUGUUGGAGAAGAACAGGGACUAGAGUAACUGUUAGUCCUUUGACGGUAUCCAACCAGAAAGCCACGGCUAACUACGUGCCAGCAGCCGCGGUAAUACGUAGGUGGCAAGCGUUGUCCGGAUUUAUUGGGCGUAAAGCGAGCGCAGGCGGUUUUUUAAGUCUGAUGUGAAAGCCUUUCGGCUUAACCGAAGAAGUGCAUUAGAAACUGGGAAACUUGAGUGCAGAAGAGGACAGUGGAACUCCAUGUGUAGCGGUGAAAUGCGUAGAUAUAUGGAAGAACACCAGUGGCGAAGGCGGCUGUCUGGUCUGUAACUGACGCUGAGGCUCGAAAGUAUGGGGAGCGAACAGGAUUAGAUACCCUGGUAGUCCAUACCGUAAACGAUGAAUGCUAAGUGUUGGAGGGUUUCCGCCCUUCAGUGCUGCAGCUAACGCAUUAAGCAUUCCGCCUGGGGAGUACGACCGCAAGGUUGAAACUCAAAGGAAUUGACGGGGGCCCGCACAAGCGGUGGAGCAUGUGGUUUAAUUCGAAGCAACGCGAAGAACCUUACCAGGUCUUGACAUCCUUUGACCACUGUAGAAGAUACAGCUUUCCCUUCGGGGACAAAGUGACAGGUGGGUGCAUGGUUGUCGUCAGCUCGUGUCGUGAGAAUGUUGGGUUAAGUCCCGCAACGGAGCGCAACCCUUAUGACUAGUUGCCAGCAUUUAGUUGGGCACUCUAGUAAGACUGCCGGUGACAAACCGGAGGAAGGUGGGGAUGACGUCAAAUCAGGCAUGUG
rnacentral:rRNA from 1 species